CGCCGUUGGUAGCGGCACAUUAAACCAAUGGAGAAGGAUAAAACGCAAAUGCCGAAGAAGAUCACGAGAGGCAGCAGCACUGUGGUGCCUGGAGGCGAGGCAGAUUGUGCUGAAAGAAGAGAUCGCACAGGUACGUAGGGGCCCUCCCCCAAGAGGAAGACAGGGGAAAAAGGAAAAAG